AUUACUGUUCUUGAGAAAGUUAGGCUUGUCAAAUGCAGCACCCAAAAAGAAAAAAAAUUAACAAAAUCAGUGGGUUUUUUUUUUUGGUUUGUUUAUUCAAUGGCCAAAUAGUUACCAUAUAGGAUUAAUUUUAUUUUUCAGUUCUAUUACCAAGUAAAUAAAAAUCCCAGUGAAAGAACAUAGAUAUUCAUUAAGUACACGGAUGUUUGUGGAAUCUUUUCCUUCACUUAAUUUUAGAUAAGGAUAAUUAUUUUACCAUAUAGUAUUAGGAGAGACCUAAACUGGAUAUUUUUAUUAUGAUUUUGUCCCCUGCUAGAUCCUACAUUUCUUAAUGCUAUUGACAGAGCUAAUUUGGAGUAUAUAAAUCUGUAUUUACCAAUAUUAAGCUAUAAUGAUGUACAAAGUUUCAAUUCAGUAGUCAUGUCAUAUUUGGUCAAUAGCCAGCCAUCGCCAUUAGUGAAAAGUGAAGCACCUACAAGAAGUACCAAGGCCGUAAGAGAAACAAAUCAAAGGGAGAUGAAGUGAUCCGUAAUGAGCAGAGAAAAAUCAAUAAGGAAAAAAAAACAGCAUAUCUCUUAAAAUAAAUGAAGAAGAGACUGGCUGAUACUUGAACUACAUUUGUUCCAUCAUACAGAAAACUUCUCAGGAAAACAUCAAAGAAGAGUUCAUAAGUCCUUGAAGAGCUAAACUAUUUCAUGGAUCCCAGGAGGAUAAAUGGGAACUUUGACAAGAAUGAAGAAUAUGGCACCUCAAAAGUCACUCAAUCUUGGGGAAGCCCCAUGGUGAGGCCCAAAUAGUGAGGAACAGAAACCUCUUACUAAUAGCCCUGUGAAGGAGCUUGGAAACAGAUUUUCUACCCUCACUCAAGCCAUAGAGAUGCAGACCAGCCAACAGCUUGACUGCAACUUCAUGAGAGACCCUGAGUCAGAAACACAUGGCUAAGCUAAUUCUGGAUUCCUAACCCUCAGAAACUG